AUGGCGCUCCAUUGCAACUCCAACGACCCUUCAUUGCAGCUCCGGCGCAGCUUCAACGACCCCGGCGAUGCUCCGCUGCAGCAUUGGACGACCUCGGCGGACCUCAAUUGCAGCACCGGCGGCCCUCCGACGAAGUUCCAAUGCAACACUGGACGGCGCCGGCGAAGCUCCAUCGCAGCACCGGCCGUCCCACGGGGAAGCUCCAUUGUAGCGCUAGACUUCUCGGCGGAGUUCCACCGCAGCAGCGGCGUGCGGCCGCUGGAGCUGUGGUGCAGCGGUCGUCAAGCCGCCAGAGCUGUGAUGCAGCGGUCGUUGGCCGUCGCCUACCCCGUGGAGCGGCUCGUACGGCUAGCAGCAGCCAAGCCACUGCCUUGCAGUGCCCGCGGCCAGCGCCGCUCGCCCGCGAAGCCUUCUCCUGCAGCAUUGAAACGGGAAUGGAUAGUGCGGCUGGGAAUCUCCUCCGGCGUCUCCAUGCACAUAGCUACGUCUUUGUUGCUGCCUAAGUGA
rnacentral:rRNA from 1 species